rnacentral:rRNA from 1 species
GAUGAACGCUGGCGGCGUGCCUAAUACAUGCAAGUCGAGCGAACAGACGAGGAGCUUGCUCCACUGACGUUAGCGGCGGAAGGGUGAGUAACACGUGGAUAACCUACCUAUAAGACUGGGAUAACUUCGUGAAACCGGAGCUAAUACCGGAUAAUAUAUUGAACCGCAGGGUUCAAUAGUGCAAGAGGGUUUUGCUGUCACUUAUAGAUGGAUCCGCGCGGCAUUAGCUAGUUGGUAAGGUAACGGCUUACCAAGGCAACGAUGCGUAGCCGACCUGAGAGGGUGAUCGGCCACACUGGAACUGAGACACGGUCCAGACUCCUACGGGAGGCAGCAGUAGGGAAUCUUCCACAAUGGGCGAAAGCCUGACGGAGCAACGCCGCGUGAGUGAUGAAGGUCUUCGGAUCGUAAACCUCUGUUAUUAGGGAAGAACAAAUGUGUAAGUAACUAUGCACGUCUUGACGGUACCUAAUCAGAAAGCCCCGGCUAACUACGUG